GCUCAGGAUGAACGCUAGCUACAGGCUUAACACAUGCAAGUCGAGGGGUAGCAGGGUAGCAAUACCGCUGACGACCGGCGCACGGGUGAGUAACACGUAUCCAACCUUCCCAUAACUCGGGGAUAGCCUUUCGAAAGAAAGAUUAAUACCCGAUAGUACUUAUAUAAGGCAUCUUAAAUAAGUUAAAGAUUUAUUGGUUAUGGAUGGGGAUGCGUUCCAUUAGAUAGUUGGUGAGGUAACGGCUCACCAAGUCUUCGAUGGAUAGGGGUUCUGAAAGGAAGGUCCCCCACAUUGGUACUGAGACACGGACCAAACUCCUACGGGAGGCAGCAGUGAGGAAUAUUGGUCAAUGGGCG
rnacentral:rRNA from 1 species